rnacentral:pre_miRNA from 1 species
UUCUUAUUGGAUGAUGACUGUCAUGUGUCAUGUUCUGAUUGGUCAAUGAAAACAAUAAUUCAUUUCAUUUUUCAUGGAGUUGACAUUCAAUCAGAACAUGACACAUGACCGUCAUCAUCC